CCGACUAUCGGGAGGCCGCGAAAAGUACUCGACAACUUAUCGACUGCAAGAGUAUAAAAUCCUCCGCUUGCAGUCGAUAAUCUGUCGAGUAGUUUCAGCGGCUUCCUGAUAGAGGGCGACAGUGUUUCCCCGUUGGAAUACUUUGUAGAACGAAAUACGAAAUAUUUCGUUUUUUGGCGAAAAAAGGAACUUUUGGGCAUUUCCAAGGCUGCUAAAUGAUCCUACGUUCUCAAAUAUACAGAGAAUAUAAGAUACAUCGCAUCAUCGAAGAGGAGACUAGCUGUCUCGAAGCUCACUCACCGCUUAUCGAGCACGACGAUCGUCUGAACUACAAAAUUGAAGGGAAUUGAACAGACACCUAGCUGACUCGUGAUCAACUCCACAAAAUUUUUCUAUAACAAAUAAAUUUCAAGUUAUUUCAAUUGUAACUAUGUAUCUAAUCAAAAUGACGUUAAAGAAAAAAAAAA